rnacentral:lncRNA from 1 species
AGUUACGAAAAAGAUUGAUUGAAAACAGCGCCCAAAAACAGUUGACAAUCACUGUUUUGACGUCAUACAUGAAGGUUAGUCUAAGCAGUCUUCUCUCACUUUCAUUUACGACCAAAACAGCACACGUGCAGCUGCUCACUGCUCAGUGUUGGUUCAAUUUGGUCCAGUGUACAGUACAUAAACAUAUCGUUUCGUUCAUCGCCACUUGAAUUAUAGUGUCAACCAAGUUUACCUCGCUAUGAAGGAUAAAAAGAUUAGCAAGCUUGUUGCUGAUUCAGCAGCGUUCAUCAGAAAUGCGCAAAUGCAGGAUGUUGCUGAUGUCGUUUACACGGUUAGGGAUGUCGUUGACGAAAUUAGAGAUCAAGCUACAAAGCAGAGACUCAGAGUUUUACCUUAUGAAAUAAAAAUGAUGGAACCAUCACCGGUGGUGAUGGACAAUGAAUGAAUGUGAACAAUCGUAAUAUUAUCAAUAUUAGACAGACGGUGUUCGGUUAAUGUAUUCUGAUGAGUAUGGCGCAAAAGCUUGACUGGGUGAAUUCACUAUGCAUUGGCACGUAAAAGUAAUUGUUAAACAAUAAUAGUUGCUAAGAUGUGCGAGUCCCGAUAGAUGUUCAACCACUCUAGCGGGAGAAACCGUAAGUCACACCAGGUAACCGAGAUUAGACGUCCGUGAAAGUGCACCUGGUGGUGAAUGUUGUAAACUCGAUCCAAUCGUUAUCGACGUCGCCACCCACCAAAUCCACCUAUAAGGGAGACACUGGAGACGAAGAUGCGGAACAUUAUUGGAAUUUGAUGACGUCAAUUCCUCUAUUAGGUAGAAGUGGGUGUCUCUCGCCGCUUCUACCUGAAGAGUCCCAAAGUGGACGAAGAAAGUGGUCGAAAUUGGUCACUGCAGAGAGACGGGAAUUCAAGGUCUAUCAAAAAUAUGACGAGUUCUGCAUGUCCUUUAUGUUCGACGAUCAGUUUCUUCUCACAAGGCCAGAUUUUUCACCCUCGUCUGUUUUGGCCUUUUGGUAAGCCUGCACAUAAGUUAGCUCAUCUGUGUUAUUCCAAAGAGCGUGAAGAAUUUGAGAACGGGUGAUGAGUAAAUAGCUACAUAGAUCCCGUGUACCUGUUUUGAGAAUCUUGUGUGGUUUAUGAGAUAUUUGGUAGCUGACACCAUAGGUCGAAGAUGCUUGGGAAAGAUUCUUUUGGUCGUAUGUGAGUAAGAUUUUCCACCCUUUUUUCA